UUAAGUGUCUAAUUCAUAGCAAAAAGAAAUUGGAACUUGUACGCAAAGUGACUCAAAAUUGCUGUGAGUGUACUUUUGUUUACAUAGUUGUUUUUAAAAUGAGUCGCGAUAAAGCUCAGAAAAGGCAGCGUGAUAUUUGGGUUUAAAAUGAAACCUACACCCUUUUGGAACUUUUGGAAAACGUUACUAAACUAGCUAACUAUAAACUAAGCCUUUCUAAAGGUUUUUAUAAACCUUAUAUAAAAUUAUAUAUAGCAUAUAUAACUAUAUAUAUAAAAAUAAUAUAUAACUAUUUAUAUAGUUUUUAUACUAUAAAAAUAUAGGGUUACCCAUAUCCUCUAAGAAUUCAUCAAUGACGUCAUUACAAUAAUCGGCCAUUGUGUAAACAAACGCAACGCCACUGCCUAUUCUCACCGCUACUUAUAGAACUUAAGCCCUGUUGUUUUUACUCAUGUGAUACUUGGAUGAAAUGGGGCCGAAAACUGACGGAAUGAAGGAGAAAGUGAAACGCGAUAUUUGGUACGAUCGCGUGAUGGUUUAUCUGUUGGAUUUAUGCAUUGAAGAAAAGUUAAGAGUUGAUGGAAGGAGACUUCAAUAUCCUAAUUACUAAGGAAUUGAAGAAUGAAACAUGGAAGAAGAUAACUAUGUCGAUGAACGUGGAAUUUCCAGAUUCCAUUUUAUGCACUUUUGUAACUUUUUUGACAUUUAUUUAUUUGCUGAGCUUUCAAUUUUAAAACAAAUGGUCUAGCA